AUUGAACGCUAGCGGGAUGCCUUACACAUGCAAGUCGAACGGAGUGGCGAACGGGUGAGUAAUGUAUCGGAACGUGCCCAGUAGCGGGGGAUAACUAAGCGAAAGCGUAGCUAAUCCCGCAUACUAUUUGAGCGGCCGAUUUCGGAUUAGCUAGUUGGUGGGGUAACGGCGCACAAAGACGACGAUCCGUAGCUGGUUUGAAAGGACGACCAGCCACACUGGGACUGAGACACGGCCCAGACUCCUACGGGAGGCAGCAGUGGGGAAUUUUGGACAAUGGGGGAAACCCUGAUGCAGCAACCCCGCGUGUGUGAUGAAGGCCUUCGGGUUGUAAAGCACUUUUGGCAGGAAAGCGGUACCUGCAGAAUAAGCACCGGCUAACUACGUGCCAGCAGCCGCGGUAAUUC
rnacentral:rRNA from 1 species